rnacentral:rRNA from 1 species
UACGGGGGGGGCAAGCGUUGUUCGGAAUUACUGGGCGUAAAGGGCUCGUAGGCGGCCAACUAAGUCGGAUGUGAAAUCCCCAGGCUUAACCUGGGAACUGCAUCCGACACUGGAUGGCUUGAAUCCGGGAGAGGGAUGCGGAAUUCCCGGUGUAGUGGUGAAAUGCGUAGAUAUCGGGAGGAACAUCAGUUGCGAAGGCGGCUCUCUGGACCAGCACUGACACUGAGGCACGAAAGCGUGGGGAGCAAACAGG